AUUGAACGCUGGCGGCAGGCCUAACACAUGCAAGUCGAACGAGUGGGGGACGGGUGAGUAAUGGCCGGGUAACGGCCUGAUGGAGGGGGAUAACUACUGGAAACGGGAGCUAAUACUGCAUACCAUCAGAUGUGUCCAGAUGGGAUUAGCUAGGUGGUGGGGUAAAUGCUCACCAAGGCGACGAUCCCUAGCUGGUCUGAGAGGAUGGCCAGCCACACUGUAGCUGAGACACGGUCCAGACUCCUACAGGAGGCCACAUUGGGGAAUAUUACACAAUGGCCGCAAGCCUGAUGCAGCCAUGCCACGUGUAUGAAGCACGCCUUCGGGUUGUAAAGUACUUUCAGCGGGGAGGCGUUACCCGCAGAAGAAGCACCGGCUAACUCCGUGCCAGCCGCCGCGGUAAUAC
rnacentral:rRNA from 1 species